CCGGGGUUUCUUUACCAGGUACUGUCAUUAUCAUCCCUGGCGAAAGAGCUUUACGACCCUAGGGCCUUCAUCACUCACGCGGCAUGGCUAGAUCAGGCUUGCGCCCAUUGUCUAAGAUUCCCCA
rnacentral:rRNA from 1 species